UACAGAGGGGGCAAGCGUUGUUCGGAAUUACUGGGCGUAAAGGGCGCGUAGGCGGCCUUCUAAGUCGAACGUGAAAUCCCUGGGCUCAACCCAGGAACUGCGUCCGAUACUGAAAGGCUUGAAUCCGGGAGAGGGAUGCGGAAUUCCAGGUGUAGCGGUGAAAUGCGCAGAUAUCAGGAGGAACACCGGUGGCGAAGGCGGAUCUCUGGGCCAUUACUGACGCUGAGGAGCGAAAGCGUGGGGAGCGAACAGG
rnacentral:rRNA from 1 species